rnacentral:rRNA from 1 species
GAUGAACGCUGACAGAAUGCUUAACACAUGCAAGUCUUUGGCGAAGCUGUGCUUGCACAGCCUAGCCAAGGCGGACGGGUGAGUAACGCGUAAGGAACUUGCCCUGCAGUCAGGGAUAACAGACGGAAACGACUGAUAAGACCUGGUAAAGUCAGGCGGACUCAUGUCCAGCCUGAUGAAAAGUGAUGCUGCAGGAGAGCCUUGCGUCCUAUUAGCUUGUUGGUGGGGUAACGGCCCACCAAGGCGAUGAUAGGUAGCCGGCCUGAGAGGGUGGACGGCCACAAGGGGACGGAGAUACGGCCCUUACUCCUACGGGAGGCAGCAGUGGGGAAUAUUGGACAAUGGGGGCAACCCUGAUCCAGCAAUUCUGUGUGCACGAUGAAGGUUUUCGGAGUGUAAAGCGCUUUCAGCAGGGAAGAAAAAAAUGACGGUACCUGCAGAAGAAGCGACGGCUAAAUACGUG